CAAUAUUUUGUUGGAAUUUCGCAGUCGGACUGAAUUCUGCUUUACGACAGAUCUGACAUGGUGUAGCUUUGCGCUUAACAACAAUCAAACCAAACCCCUAGACAACAGUAUUUAUAUCUUACUACAAUGGACAUAGCGUGUAUGAGUUGUUUUCUUAUUGCACUAUGAGUCGUAAACUUACUGCUGGAACCACCGGGGACAAUUUGUUGUAACGUAGAGAAAAUGCCGAAUCAAGUAUGUAUCUGGUGAGAGGUGAUUAACACGACACUACAAUCAAACUAAAUGUAUUCGUACUUACUACGUACAUUAAAGAUUGUAAGUAAUCAAAAA